rnacentral:rRNA from 1 species
GAUGAACGCUGGCGGCGUGCCUAAUACAUGCAAGUCGAGCGAACGGACGAGAAGCUUGCUUCUCUGAUGCUAGCGGCGGACGGGUGAGUAACACGUGGAUAACCUACCUAUAAGACUAGGAUAACUUCGGGAAACCGGAGCUAAUACCGGAUGAUAUUUUGAACCGCAUGGUUCAAAAGUGAAAGACGGUCUUGCUGUCACCUAUAGAUGGAUCCGCGCUGCAUUAGCUAGUUGGUAAGGUAACGGCUUACCAAGGCAACGAUGCAUAGCCGACCUGAGAGGGUGAUCGGCCACACUGGAACUGAGACACGGUCCAGACUCCUACGGGAGGCAGCAGUAGGGAAUCUUCCGCAAUGGGCGAAAGCCUGACGGAGCAACGCCGCGUGAGUGAUGAAGGUCUUCGGAUCGUAAAACUCUGUUAUUAGGGAAGAACAUAUGUGUAAGUAACUGUGCACAUCUUGACGGUACCUAAUCAGAAAGCCACGGCUAACUACGUG